CCUAAAAGGUAACGGAGGCGCUCAAAGGUUCCCUCAGAAUGGUUGGAAAUCAUUCAUAGAGUGUAAAGGCAUAAGGGAGCUUGACUGCGAGACCUACAAGUCGAGCAGGGUCGAAAGACGGACUUAGUGAUCCGGUGGUUCCGCAUGGAAGGGCCAUCGCUCAACGGAUAAAAGCUACCCCGGGGAUAACAGGCUUAUCUCCCCCAAGAGUUCACAUCGACGGGGAGGUUUGGCACCUCGAUGUCGGCUCAUCGCAUCCUGGGGCUGUAGUCGGUCCCAAGGGUUGGGCUGUUCGCCCAUUAAAGCGGUACGCGAGCUGGGUUCAGAACGUCGUGAGACAGUUCGGUCCCUAUCCGUCGUGGGCGUAGGAAAUUUGAGAGGAGCUGUCCUUAGUACGAGAGGACCGGGAUGGACAUACCUCUGGUGUACCAGUUGUCGUGCCAACGGCAUAGCUGGGUAGCUAUGUGUGGACGGGAUAAGUGCUGAAAGCAUCUAAGCAUGAAGCCCCCCUCAAGAUGAGAUUUCCCAACUUCGGUUAUAAGAUCCCUCAAAGAUGAUGAGGUUAAUAGGUUCGAGGUG
rnacentral:rRNA from 1 species